GGCGUCUGUAUUAAACACCGUGCUGAGGCGGCUUCCUAUGCUAUCUCUCUUCCGAGGUUCUCACAGAGUUCAGGUUCCCCUCCAGACUCUUUGCACCAAAGCUCCCUCUGAGGAAGAUUCUUUGUCCUCAGUUCCCAUUUCUCCUUAUAAGGAUGAGCCCUGGAAAUAUCUGGAAUCAGAAGAAUACCAGGAGCGAUAUGGUUCUCGCCCCGUCUGGGCUGACUACCGCCGCAACCACAAGGGUGGUGUACCCCCACAGCGGACUCGGAAGACAUGUAUUCGUCGGAAUAAAGUUGUUGGGAAUCCCUGCCCCAUCUGUCGAGAUCACAAGUUGCAUGUUGACUUUAGGGAGUCUGUGUGAAGCAGCACAAGCGGUUGACCCAGGCCAUCCAGAAAGCCAGGGAUCAUGGUCUCCUCAUUUACCACAUCCCCCAGGUUGAACCACGGGACCUUGACUUCAGUACCUCUCAUGGGGCUGUGAGUGCUACUCCGCCAGCCCCCACCCUGGUCUCAGGUGACCCCUGGUACCCAUGGUACAACUGGAAACAGCCACCGGAGAGAGAACUGUCUCGCCUUCGCCGGCUUUACCAGGGUCAUCUCCAAGAAGAGAGUGGCCCCCCACCUGAGUCAAUGCCCAAGAUGCCCCCUAGAACACCAGCGGAAGCCUCCUCCACUGGGCAGACAGGCCCUCAGAGUGCUCUGUAGGAGCUGUAGACUGGGAAGAGAGGCCAGGCGUGGUGGCUCACUCCUGUAAUCCCAGCACUUUGGGAAGCCAAGGUGGGCUGAUCACUUGAUCCCAGGAGUUUGAGACCAGCCUGGGCACCAUGGUGAAACCUCGUCUUUACC
rnacentral:lncRNA from 1 species